rnacentral:rRNA from 1 species
GAGAUUGCCGUAAACGAUGGGCACUUGGUGUUGGGGGUAUUGAGUCCCUCGGUGCCGGAGUUAACACGUUAAGUGCCCCGCCUGGGGAGUACGGUCGCAAGACUGAAACUCAAAGGAAUUGACGGGGGCCCGCACAAGCGGUGGAGCAUGUGGUUCAAUUCGACGCAACGCGAAGAACCUUACCGGGGCUCGAACGGUAACUGCAAUUCUUGGAAACAGGAAGUUCUCUUCGGAGACGGUUAUCGAGGUGCUGCAUGGCUGUCGUCAGCUCGUGUCGUGAGACGUUA